CGCUUUCCCAGGAAGUUUACCAAUGCGCAGAGCAAGUCAACUGCUUCCAAGAUAAGCUCCUGGUGGCCAAUUCGGGUGACUCCCAGAUCCUCCAGUUCUUGGAAAACUUAAAAUGUGAAGAAUGCUGCUAAAUGCAGUGAGAAGACCCAAAUUUUGCAAUUCCGUCCAUAUUUCUAUGAAAACUGAGGAUCAGUGUCCCUGAUUCUUCUUCUCAAUGCAUUUUCUCAUAGAUGAGGACAGCAAAUUUUACUAUGAUUGGUUCAGAGGUUUAAACUGGCACAACCCAAAGCAGAACUUGACCCAAAGUCACCAGGUUUUGUUGCUGCUGCAAUGACCUGAUGCACCUAGAAUGUUCCACACUGACAGAUGAGAAAGAGGCAGGACUGGCAGCCAUCCACUGAAGAACUAAGACAGGCAGACACAUUUAAUCACAUCAGAGGUAAGAGUUCCAGGUCUCUACCCCCACCCAACCCCCUUGAAGACAACACAGAGAUGCUCCCAGGACCCAUUUGGUAGGGGACCUGGACAUGGUGGAACCUCCAGGGAGGACAAGGUGGAUUAAACCUGAGCCCAAUUUUACCUGGGUUUCUGGUUCAGCACAUACUUGGACUGAGUUUCAAGAUGGACAGGAAAUCUGGCAAGCUUUACCUGG